AGCAGCCGCGGUAAUUCCAGCUCCAAUAGCGUAUAUUAAAGUUGUUGCAGUUAAAAAGCUCGUAGUUGAAUUUCGGGAUCAGUCGAUCGGUCGUGCCUCGGUACGUACUGGUCAAAUUGAUUCCUACCUUCUGACGAACCACGAUGUCAUUAAUUUGGUGUCGUGGGAAAUCAGGACUGUUACUUUGAAAAAAUUAGAGUGUUUAAAGCAGGCUCGCGCUUGAAUACAUUAGCAUGGAAUAAUGAAAUAGGACGUUUGAUUCUAUUUUGUUGGUUUCUAGGAUCGACGUAAUGAUUAAUAGGGAUAGUUGGGGGCAUUAGUAUUCAAUUGUCAGAGGUGAAAUUCUUGGAUUUAUUGAAGACUAACUACUGCGAAAGCAUUUGCCAAGGAUGUUUUCAUUAAUCAAGAACGAAAGUUAGGGGAUCGAAGACGAUCAGAUACCGUCGUAGUCUUAACCAUAAACUAUGCCGACUAGGGAUCGGAUGAUGUUAAUUUUUAAUGACUCAUUCGGCGCCUUAAC
rnacentral:rRNA from 1 species